rnacentral:rRNA from 1 species
AUUGAACGCUGGCGGCAGGCCUAACACAUGCAAGUCGAGCGGAGCGGCGGAGGGGUGAGUAAUGCCUAGGAAUCUGAAUGGGAGUGGGGGAUAACGUCAGGAAACGGGCGCUAAUACCGCAUACUAUUAGAUGAGCCUAGGUCGGAUUAGCGAGUUGGUGGGGGAAAGGCCUACCAAGGCGACGAUCCGUAACUGGUCUGAGAGGAUGAUCAGUCACACUGUAACUGAGACACGGUCCAGACUCCUACGGGAGGAAGCAGUGGGGAAUAUUGGACAAUGGGCGAAAGCCUGAUCCAGCCAUGCCGCGUGUGUGAAGAAGGUCUUCGGAUUGUAAAGCACUUUAAGUUGGGAGGCGUUACCAGCAGAAUAAGCACCGGCUAACUUCGUGCCAGCAGCCGCGGUAAUAC